ACGACUACAGAGAGUUUGAUCAUGGCUCAGAGCGAACGCUGGCGGCAGGCCUAACACAUGCAAGUCGAACGGAUCCUUCGGGAUUAGUGGCGGACGGGUGAGUAACACGUGGGAACGUGCCUUUUGGUUCGGAACAACUCAGGGAAACUUGAGCUAAUACCGGAUAAGCCUUUCGAGGGAAAGAUUUAUCGCCAUUAGAGCGGCCCGCGUAGGAUUAGCUAGUUGGUGGGGUAGAGGCCCACCAAGGCUACGAUCCUUAGCUGGUCUGAGAGGAUGAUCAGCCACAUUGGGACUGAGACACGGCCCAAACUCCUACGGGAGGCAGCAGUGGGGAAUCUUGCGCAAUGGGCGAAAGCCUGACGCAGCCAUGCCGCGUGAAUGAUGAAGGUCUUAGGAUUGUAAAAUUCUUUCACCGGGGACGAUAAUGACGGUACCCGGAGAAGAAGCCCCGGCUAACUUCGUGCCAGCCGCCGCGGUAAU
rnacentral:rRNA from 1 species